GACUGCGUACCUUUUGUAUAAUGGGUCAGCGACUUAUAUUCUGUAGCAAGGUUAACCGUAUAGGGGAGCCGAAGGGAAACCGAGUCUUAACCGGGCGUUAAGUUGCAGGGUAUAGACCCGAAACCCGGUGAUCUAGCCAUGGGCAGGUUGAAGGUUGGGUAACACUAACUGGAGGACCGAACCGACUAAUGUUGAAAAAUUAGCGGAUGACCUGUGGCUGGGGGUGAAAGGCCAAUCAAACCGGGAGAUAGCUGGUUCUCCCCGAAAGCUAUUUAGGUAGCGCCUCGUGAAUUCAUCUCCGGGGGUAGAGCACUGUUUCGGCUAGGGGGCCAUCCCGGCUUACCAACCCGAUGCAAACUGCGAAUACCGGAGAAUGUUAUCACGGGAGACACACGGCGGGUGCUAACGUCCGUCGUGAAGAGGGAAACAACCCAGACCGCCAGCUAAGGUCCCAAAGUCAUGGUUAAGUGGGAAACGAUGUGGGAAGGCCCAGACAGCCAGGAUGUUGGCUUAGAAGCAGCCAUCAUUUAAAGAAAGCGUAAUAGCUCACUGGUCGAGUCGGCCUGCGCG
rnacentral:rRNA from 1 species